AACUUAUAUAAAAACUAGAUUGAGUUAUAAAUAAAAAUUAAAAAUAUAUAUUACUUAAAAAUGAGGAUAAAGUGAAAUGUUAUUAUGUUUUUAGACAAAUACAUUUCACUUUUUAAUUUAUUUGUAUUGUGGAAAGCUAUAUAUUGUAUGAUUUUAACUAAAAAAUAAAGUUUUAUUAAAAAAAUUUUAUUAUGAUUGUUUAUAUAUUUAUUUUUAAAUAAUAAUGUAUUAAAUAAAUAUAUAAAAUAUGUGGAAAACACUUAUUUCAGUAUUUUUUAAACUUAUUUUAUUUAUUCUAUUUAAUAAAAAUAAGUUUUUUUAUAAUUUUUACUUAUAAAAAAAUAUUGUUAUGGUAAUAUAUUCUAUUUACAAUUUUAUAACUUUGGUUUACAAUAAUAGAGACAAUAAAUCCUAAAAAACAUAAUAAGAAAAAAGUGCUUAAUAUUUUAGAAAGACUGGUUUAGUUUACACCAGCUAAGCCAG
rnacentral:misc_RNA from 1 species